UGAAUGGUGAAGGUGUGGGUUUCAGUCC
rnacentral:piRNA from 1 species